UACGUAGGUGGCAAGCGUUGUCCGGAUUUACUGGGCGUAAAGAGCGCGCAGGCGGUCGUUCAAGUCGCGUGUGAAAGCCCCCGGCUCAACUGGGGAGGGUCACGCGAUACUGAUCGACUCGAAGGCAGGAGAGGGAAGUGGAAUUCCCGGUGUAGUGGUGAAAUGCGUAGAUAUCGGGAGGAACACCAAUAGCGAAGGCAGCUCGCUGGGACGGUACUGACGCUAAGGCGCGAAAGCGUGGGGAGCGAACAGG
rnacentral:rRNA from 1 species